CAACCCUCAGAGCCCCUGUAUUUAUGCAGGCGGUACCUGGUGUUGGGGCCCUGCGGCUGCCGUAGACCCUGAAAAAUAGUGGCGGGCUCCGCUAUACUCCGAGCGUAGUAAUACUUCUCGCUUAGGGCGUAUAGUGGGGAUCUUGUCUUAAACCUAAAAUUCUUAU
rnacentral:misc_RNA from 1 species